rnacentral:tmRNA from 1 species
GGGGCUGAUUCUGGAUUCGACGGGAUUUGCGAAACCCAAGGUGCAUGCCGAGGGGCGGUUGGCCUCGUAAAAAGCCGCAAAAAAUAGUCGCAAACGACGAAAACUACGCUUUAGCAGCUUAAUAACCUGCUUAGAGCCCUCUCUCCCUAGCCUCCGCUCUUAGGACGGGGAUCAAGAGAGGUCAAACCCAAAAGAGAUCGCGUGGAAGCCCUGCCUGGGGUUGAAGCGUUAAAACUUAAUCAGGCUAGUUUGUUAGUGGCGUGUCCGUCCGCAGCUGGCAAGCGAAUGUAAAGACUGACUAAGCAUGUAGUACCGAGGAUGUAGGAAUUUCGGACG